rnacentral:rRNA from 1 species
CAGCCGCCACGGGAAUACAGAGGGUGCGAGCGUUAAUCGGAUUUACUGGGCGUAAAGCGUGCGUAGGCGGCUUUUUAAGUCGGAUGUGAAAUCCCUGAGCUUAACUUAGGAAUUGCAUUCGAUACUGGGAAGCUAGAGUAUGGGAGAGGAUGGUAGAAUUCCAGGUGUAGCGGUGAAAUGCGUAGAGAUCUGGAGGAAUACCGAUGGCGAAGGCAGCCAUCUGGCCUAAUACUGACGCUGAGGUACGAAAGCAUGGGGAGCAAACAGGAUUAGAUACCCCUGUAGUCCCUGUCUCUUAUAC